CGCCAUGGCGGCCGCGGGAAUUCGAUUAGAGUUUGAUCAUGGCUCAGAUUGAACGCUGGCGGCAUGCCUUACACAUGCAAGUCGAACGGCAGCACGGGAGCAAUCCUGGUGGCGAGUGGCGAACGGGUGAGUAAUGUAUCGGAACGUACCUUUCAGUGGGGGAUAACGUAGCGAAAGUUACGCUAAUACCGCAUAUUCUGUGAGCAGGAAAGCAGGGGAUCGCAAGACCUUGCGCUGAUUGAGCGGCCGAUAUCAGAUUAGCUAGUUGGUGAGGUAAAGGCUCACCAAGGCGACGAUCUGUAGCGGGUCUGAGAGGAUGAUCCGCCACACUGGAACUGAGACACGGUCCAGACUCCUACGGGAGGCAGCAGUGGGGAAUUUUGGACAACGGGCGCAAGCCUGAUCCAGCCAUGCCGCGUGAGUGAAGAAGGCCUUCGGGUUGUAAAGCUCUUUCAGCCGGGAAGAAAACGCAUGGGUUAAUACCCUGUGUGGAUGACGGUACCGGAAUAAGAAGCACCGGCUAACUACGUGCCAGCAGCCGCGGUAAUACGAAUCACUAGUGAAUUCGCGGCCGCCUGCAGGUCGACCAUAUGGGAGAGCUCCCAA
rnacentral:rRNA from 1 species